GUUGCCUUUCAAAGAAGCAGAUUGACACAGAAACUACGCGUGUCUUCUAGAGUUUUUGCUGGAGAUCAAACUCUUCAGAUCCAUCAUGGAAGACAAACACACUUCUGGAGAUCAGAAUUUGCUUCCAGGAUGCAGUUUAGUUCAUCAGAAGAGAGCAGAAGCAGAGGCCAGCUGUGUAUCUCUGAAGAGUGAGAGAUCUAUGGAUCCACUAACUAAUUUUAGGAGUGAAAACACACAACCAGCUCUCAGGUAAAUCAUCUCCUUUAGGUCUCCAACUAAUGAUUAUUUUUAUAAUAAAUAAAUCAAGCAAGUGAUUUGUUAUUUAAUUCAUUGGAUUUAAAUGGUUAGAGCUUGUAUCUGAGCUCUGCAGGAUAGUGGGUCUCCAGGGUUAAAAAAUCUUUUGCCAUAAAGGACUUUUCCCUGCUGUUUCUCUGGUACUGAUUAGAUUUUUCUGAUAUGAGUCUUUCACUGAAUCGCAGUCGUCAAACAUGUUGUGUUUUGCUCAUAUGCCAGUUGAUCAUUCAGUUUUUAUGAAUAAUAUUUCACAAGUUCAUUCACUUUUAUUUAAUCUUGCUCAUUCAGUCAUGAUAGAUGAUGGUAAACAAAUGUGUCUUGCUGUCCUCAAAGUCUAGAAUUGAGGUACUGUAUGGAGACAAGACCACAAUAAGUGAACUUCUGAAGACUGAGUGAUUAGAAGGACUGUACUGUCACUGCCAGAUAGCAAAGGUAAUACCGUUGUAAAUUACCCUUGACUAUGUUCCUGAAAAUAUCGCUCUGCUCAUUCCUGAGUGUCAAGGAUUUACUCACCAUUAUGACUGAAGCACAGACUCUUGUUCAGAUUUGACUUAACUUUAAAAGUGAACUUUUAAAACCUGUGAAAUCUGACAUUAAAUGCCAAACUUAUGAGCGCACUCAACUUCAGGAGGGGCUGGAAGGACAUCUUUCACUGUUUUAAAGAAAAAUCUGUCAUAAAGUCUCUUGGGUUUUUGUCCUCAAUUCAAGACACCAAAUCAUCGACAACAGAGCCAAGCGUUUCGUAAAAUCCAAAGCUACUGUUAGUUUGGCCUUUAAAGAAAUAACAUCAUUUUUCUAUCUCAGUAAUCUUUUCACUGUGAUCAGAGAGGGCCUUUUCCAUCUCAGAGAUAGUAGUGGUAAGAGAAGCCAGAGUGCUGUGGAUGGACAAAGAAGAAUUAAGAAAAUUAGUAAAGUCCUCUGUUGAACUUCGCCUUGACUUUACAAACCCUGACACAAGCACCUUCUGGCAUUAAAGGAGUAGAUGGUGGCAUUGCCUCCAUGUUAGACACCUCAGGUUCUUUACCUGAAGUUUCCUGAU